GAAAUGCGAUAAGUAAUGUGAAUUGCAGAAUUCAGUGAAUCAUCGAAUCUUUGAACGCACAUUGCGCCCGUCAGCAUUCUGGCGGGCAUGCCUGUUCGAGCGUCAUUUCAACCCUCAGGACCCCCCUUUCGCGGGGAGGGACCUGGCGUUGGGGAUCGGCCCGCCCCCGCGGCGGCGCCGUCCCCGAAAUCUAGUGGCGGUCUCGCUGCAGCCUCCCCUGCGUAGUAGUUACAACCUCGCAUCGGAGCGCGGCGCGGCCACGCCGUAAAACCCCCGACUUUCUGAAUGUUGACCUCGGAUCAGGUAGGAAUACCCGCUGAACUUAAGC
rnacentral:misc_RNA from 1 species